ACAUACCCCCACACUACCACCUGCAAAAACACGAAUUCCAGUCCUUAAUAGAUGAGCUACCAGAACCUUAUCUGGUCCUUGGGGACCUGAAUGCACAUAGCAGUCUGUGGGGCGAUUCUCGCUGUGAUGCGCGAGGUCGUCUCAUUGAACAAUUCCUUUUCUCUUCUGGUGCUUGCCUGUUGAAUCAGAAAGAGCCAACAUAUUAUAA